rnacentral:lncRNA from 1 species
UUCCUGUCCAGCAGAUCCAACCUGUCUAUACUACCUGCCUGUCGAGCAGAUCCACCCUGUCUAUACUACCUGCCUGUCCAGCAGGUCCACCCUGUCUACACUACCUGCGUGCCCAGCUGAUCCGCCCUGUCUACACUACCUGCUUGUCGAGCAGAUCUGCCCUGUCUACACUACCUGCCUGUCCAGCAGAUCCACCCUGUCUAUACUCCGUACCUGGCCAGCAGAUCCACGCUAUCUACACUACCUGCCUGUCCAGCAGAUCCGCCCUGUCUAUACUACCGGCCUGUCCAGCAGAUCCACUCUGUCUAUACUACCUGCCUGUCCAGCAGAUCCAUCCUGUCUACACUACCUGCCUACCCAACAGAUCCACCCUGUCUACACUACCUGCCUGGCCAGUAGAUCCAUGCUAUCUACACUACCUGCCUGGCCGGCAGAUCCACUCUGUCUACACUGCCUGCUUGUCCAGCAGGUCCACCCUGUCUACACUACCUGCCUGCCCAGCAGAUCCACCCUGUCUACACUACCUGCCUGGCCAGUAGAUCCACGCUAUCUAUACUACCUGGCUGGCCAGCAGA